AGUGCUCAUUGUCAAAAGCACACCCUCAUCGUUUGUAGGUUCACCACCUUGACCAAUCACAGUUUUCACAGCUUCUGCUUUCAUCUCCAUGAUCAAUUUCAUGUCUUCCUCCGAUAUCCCUUCGAGUGGCUGCAAAUCAGUCUUGUUGCAGACAAUGAUCAAAGGUUUAUUCAUAAAGAGAGACUUGAUACUAUGGAAUAGA
rnacentral:misc_RNA from 1 species